rnacentral:rRNA from 1 species
AGAGUUUGAUCCUGGCUCAGGACGAACGCUGGCGGCGUGCCUAACACAUGCAAGUCACGGGGGGUAGCAAUACCAACCGGCGAACGGGUGCGGAACACGUGAGCAAUCUACCGAUUACUGGGGGAUAGCCGGCCCAACGGCCGGGUAAUACCGCAUACGCUCAAGAGGGGACAUCCCCAUUUGAGGAAACCUCCGGGGGUAAUCGAGGAGCUCGCGUCUUAUCAGCUAGUUGGUGAGGUAACGGCUCACCAAGGCUACGACGGGCAGCUGGUCUGAGAGGAUGGCCAGCCACAUGGGGACUGCGACACGGCCCAGACUCCUACGGGAGGCAGCAGUGGGGAAUAUUGCGCAAUGGACGAAAGUCUGACGCAGCGACGCCGCGUGUGGGAUGAGGCUCUUCGGGGUGUAAACCACUGUUGCCCGGGACGAAUAUCCUUUUUUGAAAGGAUUGACGGUACCGGGUGAGGAAGCACCGGCUAACUCUGUGCCAGCAGCCGCGGUAAUACAGAGGGUGCGAGCGUUGUCCGGAAUCACUGGGCGUAAAGGGCGCGUAGGUGGCUUGUUAAGCGUGUGGUGAAAGCCUGGGGCUCAACCCCGGUCUGCCGUGCGAACUGGCAAGCUUGAGCGUAGUAGAGGCAGGUGGAAUUUCGGGUGUAGCGGUGGAAUGCGUAGAUAUCCGAAAGAACACCGGUGGCGAAGGCGGCCUGCUGGGCUACUGCUGACACUGAUGCGCGACAGCGUGGGGAGCAAACAGGAUUAGAUACCCUGGUAGUCCACGCCGUAAACGAUGGGUACUAGGCGUCUGGGGGAGCGACCCCCUGGGUGCCGGCGCUAACGCAUGAAGUACCCCGCCUGGGGAGUACGGCCGCAAGGCUGAAACUCAAAGGAAUUGACGGGGGCCCGCACAAGCGGUGGAGCAUGUGGUUUAAUUCGACGCAACGCGAAGAACCUUACCUGGGUUUGACAUGCUGGAGAAAGCCCUCAGAAACGGGGGCCCCUCUUCGGAGUUCCAGCACAGAUGCUGCAUGGCUGUCGUCAGCUCGUGUCGUGAGAUGUUGGGUUAAGUCCCGCAACGAGCGCAACCCUCAUCCCUAGUUACCAGCGGGUAAAGCCGGGAACUCUAGGGGGACUGCCGGUGCCAAACCGGACGAAGGUGGGGACGACGUCAAGUCAUCAUGGCUCUUACAUCCAGGGCUACACACGUGCUACAAUGGGCCAGACAAAGGGUCGCCAACCCGCGAGGGGGAGCCAAUCCCAUAAACUGGUCCUCAGUUCGGAUUGCAGUCUGCAACUCGACUGCAUGAAGCUGGAAUCGCUAGUAAUCGUGGAUCAGCUACGCCACGGUGAAUACGUUCCCGGGCCUUGUACACACCGCCCGUCACGCCAUGGAAGCUGUGAGUGCCCGAAGUCCGUGCAGGAACCCGCAAGGGGCCGAGCGGCCGAAGGCAAGCGCAGUGACUGGGGCGAAGUCGUAACAAGGUA